rnacentral:rRNA from 1 species
AUUGAACGCUGGCGGCAGGCCUAACACAUGCAAGUCGAGCGGAGCGGCGGACGGGUGAGUAAUAUAUGGGGAUCUGUCCGAUAGUGGGGGAUAACGUUCGGAAACGCGCGAUCAUACCGCAUACUAUCAGAUCUGCUUCGGUCGGAUUAGCUCGUUGGUGGGGUAACGGCCUACCAAGGCGACGAUCCGUAACUGGUCUGAGAGGAUGAUCAGUCACACUGGAACUGAGACACGGUCCAGACUCCUACGGGAGGCAGCAGUGGGGAAUAUUGCACAAUGGGCGCAAGCCUGAUGCAGCCAUGCCGCGUGUAUGAAGAAGGCCCUAGGGUUGUAAAGUACUUUCAGUCGGGAGGCGUUACCGACAGAAGAAGCACCGGCUAACUCCGUGCCAGCAGCCGCGGUAAUUC